UACGUAGGGGGCAAGCGUUGUCCGGAUUUAUUGGGCGUAAAGAGCGUGUAGGCGGUUUGGUAGGUCCGUUGUGAAAACUCGAGGCUCAACCUCGAGACGCCGAUGGAAACCAUCAGACUAGAGUCCGGAAGAGGAGAGUGGAAUUCCUGGUGUAGCGGUGAAAUGCGCAGAUAUCAGGAAGAACACCCGUGGCUAAGGUGGCUCUCUAGUACGGUACUGACGCUGAGACGCGAAAGCGUGGGGAGCGAACAGGG
rnacentral:rRNA from 1 species